AGCGCAUACGGUGGAUGCCUUGGCAGUCAGAGGCGAUGAAAGACGUGGUAGCCUGCGAAAAGCUUCGAGGAGUCGGCAAACAGACUUUGAUCCGGAGAUCUCUGAAUGGGGGAACCCACCUAGGAUAACCUAGGUAUCUUGUACUGAAUCCAUAGGUGCAAGAGGCGAACCAGGGGAACUGAAACAUCUAAGUACCCUGAGGAAAAGAAAUCAACCGAGAUUCCCUUAGUAGUGGCGAGCGAACGGGGAUUAGCCCUUAAGCUUCAUUGAUUUUAGCGGAACGCUCUGGAAAGUGCGGCCAUAGUGGGUGAUAGCCCCGUACGCGAAAGGAUCUUUGAAGUGAAAUCGAGUAGGACGGAGCACGAGAAACUUUGUCUGAACAUGGGGGGACCAUCCUCCAAGGCUAAAUACUACUGACUGACCGAUAGUGAACCAGUACCGUGAGGGAAAGGCGAAAAGAACCCCGGAGAGGGGAGUGAAAUAGAACCUGAAACCGUAUGCGUACAAGCAGUGGGAGCCUACUUGUUAGGUGACUGCGUACCUUUUGUAUAAUGGGUCAGCGACUUAUAUUCAGUGGCAAGCUUAACCGUAUAGGGUAGGCGUAGCGAAAGCGAGUCUUAAUAGGGCGUUUAGUCGCUGGGUAUAGACCCGAAACCGGGCGAUCUAUCCAUGAGCAGGUUGAAGGUUAGGUAACACUGACUGGAGGACCGAACCCACUCCCGUUGAAAAGGUAGGGGAUGACUUGUGGAUCGGAGUGAAAGGCUAAUCAAGCUCGGAGAUAGCUGGUUCUCCUCGAAAGCUAUUUAGGUAGCGCCUCAUGUAUCACUCUGGGGGGUAGAGCACUGUUUCGGCUAGGGGGUCAUCCCGACUUACCAAACCGAUGCAAACUCCGAAUACCCAGAAGUGCCGAGCAUGGGAGACACACGGCGGGUGCUAACGUCCGUCGUGAAAAGGGAAACAACCCAGACCGCCAGCUAAGGUCCCAAAGUUGUGGUUAAGUGGUAAACGAUGUGGGAAGGCUUAGACAGCUAGGAGGUUGGCUUAGAAGCAGCCACCCUUUAAAGAAAGCGUAAUAGCUCACUAGUCGAGUCGGCCUGCGCGGAAGAUGUAACGGGGCUCAAACCACACACCGAAGCUGCGGGUGUCACGUAAGUGACGCGGUAGAGGAGCGUUCUGUAAGCCUGUGAAGGUGAGUUGAGAAGCUUGCUGGAGGUAUCAGAAGUGCGAAUGCUGACAUGAGUAACGACAAUGGGUGUGAAAAACACCCACGCCGAAAGACCAAGGGUUCCUGCGCAACGUUAAUCGACGCAGGGUUAGUCGGUUCCUAAGGCGAGGCUGAAAAGCGUAGUCGAUGGGAAACAGGUUAAUAUUCCUGUACUUCUGGUUACUGCGAUGGAGGGACGGAGAAGGCUAGGCCAGCUUGGCGUUGGUUGUCCAAGUUUAAGGUGGUAGGCUGAAAUCUUAGGUAAAUCCGGGGUUUCAAGGCCGAGAGCUGAUGACGAGUCGUCUUUUAGAUGACGAAGUGGUUGAUGCCAUGCUUCCAAGAAAAGCUUCUAAGCUUCAGGUAACCAGGAACCGUACCCCAAACCGACACAGGUGGUCGGGUAGAGAAUACCAAGGCGCUUGAGAGAACUCGGGUGAAGGAACUAGGCAAAAUGGCACCGUAACUUCGGGAGAAGGUGCGCCGGCUAGGGUGAAGGAUUUACUCCGUAAGCUCUGGCUGGUCGAAGAUACCAGGCCGCUGCGACUGUUUAUUAAAAACACAGCACUCUGCAAACACGAAAGUGGACGUAUAGGGUGUGACGCCUGCCCGGUGCCGGAAGGUUAAUUGAUGGGGUUAGCGCAAGCGAAGCUCUUGAUCGAAGCCCCGGUAAACGGCGGCCGUAACUAUAACGGUCCUAAGGUAGCGAAAUUCCUUGUCGGGUAAGUUCCGACCUGCACGAAUGGCGUAACGAUGGCGGCGCUGUCUCCACCCGAGACUCAGUGAAAUUGAAAUCGCUGUGAAGAUGCAGUGUAUCCGCGGCUAGACGGAAAGACCCCGUGAACCUUUACUGUAGCUUUGCACUGGACUUUGAGCCUGCUUGUGUAGGAUAGGUGGGAGGCUUUGAAGCGUGGACGCCAGUUCGCGUGGAGCCAUCCUUGAAAUACCACCCUGGCAUGCUUGAGGUUCUAACUCUGGUCCGUAAUCCGGAUCGAGGACAGUGUAUGGUGGGCAGUUUGACUGGGGCGGUCUCCUCCUAAAGAGUAACGGAGGAGUACGAAGGUGCGCUCAGACCGGUCGGAAAUCGGUCGCAGAGUAUAAAGGCAAAAGCGCGCUUGACUGCGAGACAGACACGUCGAGCAGGUACGAAAGUAGGUCUUAGUGAUCCGGUGGUUCUGUAUGGAAGGGCCAUCGCUCAACGGAUAAAAGGUACUCCGGGGAUAACAGGCUGAUACCGCCCAAGAGUUCAUAUCGACGGCGGUGUUUGGCACCUCGAUGUCGGCUCAUCACAUCCUGGGGCUGAAGCCGGUCCCAAGGGUAUGGCUGUUCGCCAUUUAAAGUGGUACGCGAGCUGGGUUUAGAACGUCGUGAGACAGUUCGGUCCCUAUCUGCCGUGGACGUUUGAGAUUUGAGAGGGGCUGCUCCUAGUACGAGAGGACCGGAGUGGACGAACCUCUGGUGUUCCGGUUGUCACGCCAGUGGCAUUGCCGGGUAGCUAUGUUCGGAAAAGAUAACCGCUGAAAGCAUCUAAGCGGGAAACUUGCCUCAAGAUGAGAUCUCACUGGGAACUUGAUUCCCCUGAAGGGCCGUCGAAGACUACGACGUUGAUAGGCUGGGUGUGUAAGCGUUGU
rnacentral:rRNA from 1 species